UCUGCCGGUUAAAAUAAAAUAAAAAAGCGUUUCAACUAGAAGACCCUAGCGACACUGCGAUACAGAGAAAAGGAAGGAGAAAAAAGAAAACCUUGCGCCACGAGGUGGGUUCUUUCUAAAAUCUUUGACAGCUCUUUCUCUCUCUGUCAAUGGCAGACAAGAAAUUAGGGUUCUUCACUAUAAAAGACCAUCAGAUCCGUAUCCUCCAUCGUGGUUGCUGGAAAUUUUUUGGGUUUUUCUCUUAACUGGCACCAGUAAUAGAGAGAUGCAGAUAUAGAGAAAUGGAGAGACAGAAAUAGAGAGAGGUAGAUACAAUCCGUAAGCAAUAGGGAUUGAGAUUGAGGAUCAGCACUACUCCGUGACCAAUAUAAUUGGAACUAAACACAGACUGAUGAAAGAUAGAUUUAUGAUGUUCACCAGGUGUUUUCAAGAAAUAUUGCUGGAUAAAACUGGCAGUUUCUUUCAGCAAGAAUAGUUACUCAACCAAGCAAGGGAGGAGAGUUAGUCAAGGAGCCAAUUUGUAAGGUAUUCUUAAAGAAAAUUAAAACUUAAAUAAAUCAACAAUGGUCUCUUCAAAACCCCUUUGCUAUCAGCCUUCAACAUUCUUUGGUUUCUAAAACAUUCAUUGGCUUUAAUAUACUAAUCAAAACAGAAUUUUGUCCAAUAGAUUCACCAGUUUUCUCACAUUGUCUCUCUAUAAUUACCCCCUUUUUGUCUCUGUCUCUGUCUCUGUCUCUCUCAUGUUUUUGUUAGGGUAAUGUUUGAAAGAACAUUAAAUGUCUUUGUGUGUGGUUUAUCUUUAGAAUGAAUAGAUUAUGACUUUGGGAAUUUACGUUUUGACUUAAGUGGUUUAUAAAUAAAGGGGUCUUGAAGCUUAUUUUAUCAUAAUUUACCACAAAUCAAAUUUUAUCUAGAAUAUAAAAAAAUCAAUUGAUAUUGUAUAACCUAUUAUCUAUACCUUUAAAAGAAAGGUUUUUCAAAGGAUUUUUUUUGCCCUGUUUGAAGCUUCUCAAUGGGUAUCACUAGGCCUUGAAUACGUUGUGUUCUGUUAGUCUAUCCGCUCUUUUUUCUCUGCCCAUCUCCUUCUCCAAAACCACAUUAUAACCUCCAUUUUAUUUGGUAUGUGAUUUUACUAAUAAGCUUUGGCUUUGGGAUUUUUGUUUCAUUUGCCAAGUUCUAUAAAAUGAGCAAUGUGAGUUUGAAGGUUCUGUUUUGGUUAUCUUUGUGUUUGUUCUCUAUUUGUUUGUUUAAAUUUCUCAAUGAAUAAAAUUUGGUCUAUGGAUCCAAUUUGUUAAAAAGAUUUCUUCUUCAAAAUGUUAUUUUUCUGCACUAUUCUUCUACAAAGAAUCUGCACUGCUACACAUCUAAAAUCUUCGCUACAUUGUUUCACAAAAUCUACAUUGCACUGACUCAUAAAAAGUCUGCACUGCACUGCACUAUUUCAUUAAAUGUACUCUGUUUUGAAUAACUAUCUGCACUUUUUAAAAAUAACUUUUGUCUUGGUUAUCUUUGUGUUUUUUCUGUGUGUUUGUUUAAAUUUUUCAGUGAAUACGUAGAACAAAUAUAGGUUCUAAUAAAUAAAAUCUAUAAACAUUUCCCAAAACCAUUCUUUGUUCUUAAAGGGAAUAAAUAUGACAAAGAAAUUGGACCUGAAUAAAACAGGACACGUAAUUUUUUAAAAUCAAUUAAAUUUCUUAAUCAAUUUUGACGCUGCAUUACAUGUCACUAAAACUAUCAAAGUUCAUAUUUUAAUGCAUAACUUAGUGGGAGAUUAAGAGAAAGAGAAACAAUAAAAUUUGAUAAAACAAAACCUGCAGUUGUCUUAAGACGUAUAUCGGUAAUUGAAAAAUAGCCAUCCUCAUUUGCUUUGCUCCAAGAUUCGUAUAUCUAACAUUGAUUCAUGUGAUUUAGAUUUGAGAUGGUAGAACUAAUUUCGCAUCUGUAUGUGUUCUUCAUUUGGAAUCAAUUUAACAUAUUUUUUUUAAAAGUUCUGAUAUGUCCAGGUAUGCAAAAAGAUCAUCAAUGGCUUGGUUUCUCACAACAUUAGACCCAUAAACUUUUAAGGGGGUUAAACUAUUUGACUUUUGGUUCAUUUUAAGGUUAUAAAUGUUAUUUUGAGCUAUGUACCUAAAUUUUUAUGAUGUUAUGAAGAAAACUAUUUGUUUUUCCACUUUUGUAAGUUUAAUUUUUUCCCGCU